rnacentral:rRNA from 1 species
GAGUUUGAUCGUGGCUCAGAUUGAACGCUGGCGGCAUGCCUUACACAUGCAAGUCGAACGGCAGCACGGGAGCUUGCUCCUGGUGGCGAGUGGCGAACGGGUGAGUAAUGCAUCGGAACGUAUCCUGGAGUGGGGGAUAACAUAGCGAAAGUUACGCUAAUACCGCAUAUUCUGUGAGCAGGAAAGCGGGGGACCUUCGGGCCUCGCGCUCUUGGAGCGGCCGAUGUCGGAUUAGCUAGUUGGUGAGGUAAAGGCUCACCAAGGCGACGAUCCGUAGCAGGUCUGAGAGGAUGAUCUGCCACACUGGAACCGAGACACGGUCCAGACUCCUACGGGAGGCAGCAGUGGGGAAUUUUGGACAAUGGGGGCAACCCUGAUCCAGCCAUGCCGCGUGAGUGAAGAAGGCCUCGG